rnacentral:rRNA from 1 species
UACGUAGGGUGCGAGCGUUAAUCGGAAUUACUGGGCGUAAAGCGUGCGCAGGCGGUUUUGUAAGCCAGAUGUGAAAUCCCCGGGCUUAACCUGGGAAUGGCAUUUGGGACUGCAAGGCUUGAGUGCGGCAGAGGAGACUGGAAUUCCUGGUGUAGCAGUGAAAUGCGUAGAUAUCAGGAGGAAUACCGAUGGCGAAGGCAGGUCUCUGGGCUGACACUGACGCUCAGGCACGAAAGCGUGGGGAGCAAACAGG